GUACCCUCUUCAGCAGCACAUAUACUAAAUUAGAAUAAUACAGAGAAGAUUAGCAUGGCCCUGGGCAAGGAUAACAUGGAAAUUCACAAAGUGUUCCAUAUUUCU